rnacentral:lncRNA from 1 species
GUGUCCACAGCAGUGUCAUGGACUUGGAGGUGCAUGAGGUAUCAUUCUGGACAGAAAGGAAUUUCUAAAGAAUUAAUAAAGACUUAAUGAUGCCAAACUUCAUCAUUAAACAUUAUAGACCUUGAAAACAACUACCACAGAAAGGUGAUAAUGAAAAAAGACAAAGCAAAAUGGGUAUGUAUUGUGGGAAAGUCUGUCAGUGAACACUGGGUUUAAAGAUAUCCACCUGUAGGUGGGCAAACAACAUCCAUUGAGGGAAGGACAGCCUUGCCCAGAGGGACAUUUCUUCCUGAGAAGCUAGGUGGCGAUAGAAGCACGCUGAAGCAGUGAGAAUGUGCCUAUCCAAUGUGAUCUUCAGCUCAGGGCUGUUCCAUGGGUCUGCUUUGUUCAUUGUAGUGUGCAUCCCCCACCCACAAACACCCCACAGGCCAUCCUCUUGUCCUUUCCUGCAUUUUUCUCUCUUCAGAUAUUUCCUGAAAGACUAACAUGCCUCAGGAUGCAUGGAAAAGUCUAUAAAAAUGCCAAAUCUUAUAGAUCAGAUGAAUAUUAGGUUGUGACAUUCGAGGAAUACAUACCUGUUAAGCCCCAUUAGGACUCCUGAAGAUCCCCAGAAAACUCAUAACUACCUAAAUGCUGUUCAAAGUUCCUAGGACUGUACUUUAACUGAGAAAAAAAAGAGAGAGAAAUUGUUCAACACUGCAGUAGAGAAAGAGUAUGGCUUUGCUGUCACAUGGUCCUUGGUUCAACUUCUAGCUGCAACCCUUAACAGUCACAUGGCCUCACACAAGAAAUUUAUUUUUUCUGAGCCUCAGGUCCCACAACUAUAAAUGGUGAGAGAUAUAUGACAUUUAGAAGAUGCCCAACUUAUAUGUGUUCCUUACAAUCUGUUCUCUGGAGUAGAAAAAGUACAGCAUCCUGCUACCUGUGCAAAAAAAGGGGAGAAGUGCCCAAGCCAAUGUGUGGCAAUAUGUUCCACAAUCUCAUCUGAGGAGCUGCCAAUGAGCUGAAGAUACUUCUAUACUAACACAGAGAGCUCUGUGCACAGGGACCAGUUAACUCAAACAUCCCUCAACCUGUGAAACUUUAGGGGAGAAGGUAAAGAUAAUCUGAGAGAUACUUAUUAUGAGAUGAGGAGAAGAGUUCAAUCCAAUAGCUAUUCCUUGAGUAUGGAAUCUGAGAGUCACCAGGCCAGGUGGCAGAAUGAUCACUGUCUCAGUGAGGACGCUUUAUGAGCAAUAUUGUGAUACCUGAGUAAACCACUGGAGAGCUGGGGGAAGGGAGAGAGAAAAGAGAGAAUUGAGUAAGGAUGUCUCUUUCCUUUGCAUUGUGUGGUUUUAUUAAUAAUUUAUGUUGCCUGGUUUCUGGGUAUUUGGGUUUGAUGCUCAGGCCUGGUAUUGAUUGACAUGUAUGUUUGAGAAGUUCCCAGGGAAAUUUGGAUUUGGAUUUUACAUGUAAUGUAUUUUAUUUUACAGGUGCUGCAGAAGACCUCAAUAAGGAGUUUUUUUUUUGGGGGGGGUGGGUGUGUGAAAUAUGCUUUUAGGACAAGAAUGUGUAUUAAAAAGAAUGACUUCAUGACUUUUACCAGUAAAUGGAUGGAUCUCAGACUAUGGUGCUAAGUGAAAUAAACCAAUCCCCAAAAAUCCAGAGG